rnacentral:rRNA from 1 species
GACGAACGCUGGCGGCGUGCUUAACACAUGCAAGUCGAACGGUGAACGAGGGAGCUUGCUCCCUCCGGAUCAGUGGCGAACGGGUGAGUAACACGUGAGCAAUCUGCCCCGAACUCUGGGAUAAGCGUUGGAAACGACGUCUAAUACCGGAUACGACGCGGGAGGGCAUCCUCUCCGCGUGGAAAGAACUUCGGUUCGGGCUGAGCUCGCGGCCUAUCAGCUUGUUGGUGAGGUAACGGCUCACCAAGGCGACGACGGGUAGCCGGCCUGAGAGGGUGACCGGCCACACUGGGACUGAGACACGGCCCAGACUCCUACGGGAGGCAGCAGUGGGGAAUAUUGCACAAUGGGCGCAAGCCUGAUGCAGCAACGCCGCGUGGGGGACGACGGCCUUCGGGUUGUAAACCUCUUUUAGCAGGGAAGAAGCGAAAGUGACGGUACCUGCAGAAAAAGCACCGGCUAACUACGUG